rnacentral:rRNA from 1 species
GGCCCUACCAAGGCAACGAUCAGUAGCCGGCCUGAGAGGGUGAACGGCCACAUUGGGACUGAGACACGGCCCAAACUCCUACGGGAGGCAGCAG